CUCUCUUUCACUGCCAGGCAGAGGAGUGGGUGUGCUUCCAAGUCGUACGCCUUCAUUCAAUGCAGACCUCAAACAGAAUGAAGAAUUCUUCAAAUUCUUUCAAUCACUGUUUUAAGAGGCUGUUGGGUCUAUGUUGCACUCUAAUGUCAAUCCAGUUUCCAAUGAAGGUACAUGGAAAAUAGAGAAGUGAUUGGUGACAGCCAACAUGUUUUCACUAAAGCCUUAAGUUUGUAUCCUGAAUCAUGUUAUCAUCUCUAUGAGCUGCCUUCUUCUAGGCCACUGCAGAGGAAGAAGAAAAUGGAAAUGAGGAUGGGAAAGUUGUGCACUGUAGUGUGUUUCAGAACACAUCUCCCUGAAUUUUGAGUGAUUAGAAAAUCAUAAAACACAUACACUAAAAUGUUGUCUUUUUCAGCCUCUUCAGCUAUAACCCGAGAUAUUAAAACCAGCUUUUAGUGAGCAACAGGAUGCCAUCCAGAUGUAUGGAGGUGUGAUCAGGAAAGCCAAGCCAGAAAUUGAACUGAACCUGGAAAGCCCGUGCAGGAUCAGUUCAGGAAGGACAGCAUCCCGGGGAAAGGGCCCAACAGUGGUGCAGAGGAGUGACCAUGAAUGAGUGGCAGAGAUGAAGCAUUAUGGAUUGACAGCAGUCCCCAUUCCCCAUUUCCAUGUGCUGAUUGGUGUCCAAGACUCAGGAGUGAAGAGAGGUGAGAGUGCCGCUCGGACAACAACUGGAGACAAACCAAGACUACCCUACCACAGAAACAUGCUUGGCAUUGGAAAAAAACAAAAGGAAAUAUUUUUCAGCUCCAGUAUGAACCUUAGCGAUAUGUGUUUUUGUUUUUUUGUUUUUUCUUUUGGAGUUUUCUCUACAGUCAGUAAGUAGAUUUAGUGGCAUUUAGCAAAAUGGUAAUACAAUGUUUUGGUUUUAUUUUGUUUUGUUUUUAUACACACAUUAAGAUAAUAAAUCCGACUUAAAAAAAAAAAAAACUGUUUACUAAUUUCAGAUUGCUGUAAGAUCAUAGUCUCAGUGAUUCCCAUCUAAAUUCAUUAGAAUGAAAGAAUACAGAACAUUCACCCACCUUGCCAUUUUUACUCUUCAUAAGCAAUGUCAGGUGUUUUUUUCAGACUGCCUAAACAAAUGGGAGAAACUACAUCUGGAGCCAUCACAGUCAUUCUUCACAACUUAAUCAUACAAAGUGAAAAGCACUGAGUUAUCACUGGGGAUUCGUCUCUUGUGAAAGAGCUUGAAAGUUAAUUGUUUUUUUUGUAUGUGCAUUUUUGUUUGGUUGUUUUUUUUUUGGGGGGGGGGUGAAAGAAAAAAAAGGAAAAGUAAAAAAUGAGCUGAUGCAAAACAAACACUGCAUUCUGUUGUCACUGUCAAAGAGUUGUUCUGUGUUUACUAAUUUUGCAGGUCAUAAAUAAUCACUUUGGUGCUGUUUCUCAAUAUUCAAAAGCUAAACUGCAGGCAAAGAAAGGGAACAAAUUGUGGUGUUGUUUGUUUUGUACUAUUUCAGAGGUUUUUGAGCAAAAUUUGGGGAUCAGCAUCUGCUAGUAUAUAUUUCUAAUUUCUCCAAAAUUUUACCAGUAAUCUCUGAGUAAACAAAAAUCUUUGUAAGAUUCUCUCUAUUCAAGCUAAGGCUGAACAGAAUGAUAACGAAUUUACGUGACACUGCAAAACAAAUUACAAUAUCAUUCUCACAUAUGAAUUUCCACUUCUUCAGACAACUGAUCUGCUGUCGUAUGAAGUCAUAAAGUAGAGUGUCUCUGUUGCCCUAUCAGCUAACAAUGUGAUAUCUGAUGAUACUGCAAAAGGGCAAGAAAGCCCCUUAAUACAAUCUUCUCAUGUUCUAUUUCAGAUACUUACUGAGCACAUUUUGAAACCUUCUAAUAGUCUCAAUUUAAUUAGCUUCCUAUUGGCUUAAUUUUUCUUUGCCCAUUUAAAUAUUGUAUUAUAAGCACAUUUGUAAAUCACAUUGUUCUAAAGCCAAAACAUUUCAUUCAAUGAGUGAUUGCCUAUAUAAUGUAACAAUUACCACAGCAAAUUAACGUCUUUGAAUAAAGAUGGCACUUAGUGAUGCUUUAUUUCUUUAAAUUCUUUCAUUUAUACUGCAGUUAAACAGGAUAUGUCACUGCAUUGUACUAAUAACAAAUUAACUCCAACACUAUGGAGAAAUAACAACCUAACAAUGUUAUUCUUCCUUUAUAAAUUAGCUUCAAAACAAAUUAUCUUCUUGGAUGACUUGUUAGUGCAAGAGUUAUUUUGUUAAGAUUUUGGGGAAAAAAAAUGUAGAAAUAAAAGGGAAAUUAUAACACUGAAGCAGUGAUCAUAAUACUACAGUGCUGUAGCUUUCUGAGGAAAGCAAGAGUUGCUCCAAAAGUAACGCUUCCUAUUUUAUUAUGUUUAUUAUGUUGGCCCUGACAUCAGAGGUGGAUGUUGGUGAUAUGCCAGUUGAGUUUGAACCUUCCCACCAAUAUUCCAUCACAUUUUGUUGCUACAUGACAGAUAUCAGUAGAGAGGAAGUCUGACCAAGUGGUGUCUGACAUGGAAGUAUGUAUGAAGCAAAGGUGUGGAAUUGAAUUCUUCCAUGUGGAAAAAAAUUGCACCCACUGACAUCCAUUGAUGCUCAAUAUUUAUGGAGACCAAACACUGAAUGUGAGGAAAAUGAGGCAAGGGGUGGUACACUCACCAAAGACAAACCAUGUUCCAGAUUGCCAUGCACAUCUGUCACACCACAAAAUGAUGAGCAUCUGCACAGAUCAGCUAAUGAUGGUGACUAGGUUGAAAAAUAGUGUUUUGUAGCUGAGACUAUGCUCUAUCAAAUAGUGUUAUUGUGCUCAUUUUGUCUGUUGUAGAUUCCAUGGAAAUAAAUAGAAGGCACUAGUUUUGGAGCAAGCUAUAUAUAUAAAGUCAGAAGCAUUUUGCUUUAGUACUUUCAAAAGCUGCGUUUCAUUCAUGCUUGCACAAUUAAUGCAGAAAUGAAUUACAUAAGAAUUCCAUUUGAGCAUAACAGGAUUACCAGAGUGAGCAUAUAACCUGUUCUAAGUCUGAUUUACAUUGAAUAACUUUGUAUUUUCCAUAAGGGUAGUCAUGGGAACUGUGUUAUCAGAGAAAAUCCUGUGAGAAUUACAUCUGGAAGACUUUGAUAGCUCCAUGGUAGAUGGCAAGUCAUGCUUUUAAGAAACAUGGCACGCGUCAGUGAAAAGUGGUUGAAGUGCCUCUCAUUCUUUGUAUUCUUAAAAAGUAGAGAUGCUUGAAUAAACAAUUCAGCAUUAUUAAUUAGCACAGCUGGACCAGUAGAUACAAACUUGGGCUGAAAUCCACAUUUUUCCAUAUUCCAAAAUCUCCUGUGAUGUUUCUAUCACAUUCUGAAACUUACUGAAACAAGAGUUAACUGAAAGAAUGAAAGGGAAAUGUAAUAUUAAAUUUGACCACUAACAGUAUAAAGUUAUUUAUCUGGAAAUAUUUGCCUACUCUGUGGCAAUGACUUGUGAGAACAACAGCAGCUUAGGAUCAGUACCAAAAAAAAGCAGGGCAUAAGAACCAAAGACAGACAUGACAUUAUUAUUUAGUGUGCUUAAUCACUGGUUCGAAGGAUAGAUUUCUGCUAGGCAUUACAGAUAUUUGCUUUCUGUGCUUUAGUACAUCACAGAUAUCCCCUUUCUUAAAAUGCUGAUACAGUUUGCAUAUUAACAGCCCAGGAUUGUAUUUAAGUGGGCUGAAUGCCUAUGCUGCCACAUUUGUCUACUGUGCUUAUAAAUUUAAAACAAAAUUACAAAAUUCAGAUUACAUUAUCCUUAUUUUUGUACAAUACUAACAGAAAUGAUUUUUAUAAUUUUUUGUCUAUACAUACUGCUAUUCUACGUUUUGUUGAAAUGACUGUACUGUAAUACAAAUGAUAAAAGAGAGAAAAUGUAAUGUUUCCUUGUUUAUACAAAGAAUAACAAAUUAAGCAUGAAAAAGAAUAUGAUUUCCAGACUUCUAUGGUUAUUACCCCCGUGAUUUUUGUAUCUACAUCUUAAUUGAAGUAAUUAUAUUUUUCUAGAAGUCAAAAAGCUGUUUUUGACACUUGUAAAAGAUAAUUUUGGAAGCACUUAAUUCUGCACACUUUUUCACAUAAUCUGUCAGUGCACAAGCCUGAGCUCUGAUGUGGGCAUAAAGGUAGGUGAAAUACCCUGAAGUUAUUGAAUGAUAAAGAGUAUUCUUAGAUUUCCAAGGUUAAUAAAAGGAUGAACAGUAUGAGCUCUAUAUGGGCUGAGUUCGUUGACUGAAUUAUAGUGAAUAUAAACCAGCCACAUUGCAAAGGCAUGUGUAAUCUAAUGGAUAUAACUGAUGGAUGUAGUUCCUUGCAAAGGUAAUUGUUGGAUCAGAAUCUCAAAGUCCAGGAAAGUGUUGCUUCUCUAUACAAUACUAGGAAAUUGAAUUCUGUUCCAGUGCUUUCAUUUAUUUGGGGAAAAACUAUCAGGGCUUGGAGAAAGACUGAAACAGCUCAUUGUCAGGGCUGUAAACUAGGUUUGAAGUGGGAAGGACGUAGUGCACCUAACCAUGAUAAGGUGUGCAGUGGCUUAGCUAGGCUAGAGGGACAGGGUGCUAGCGCGGGAUUAUGCCCUGAGAUCUGCUGACAACACUGCAGCAAAUUUGAAGUUCUAUGUCAGUGAGCCAGAGAACACUGAGAUAAUGUGAGAAAGUAACAGGGAAACUCCAGUACUUAGCCUUCCAGUAAUAGAAGAGAACUUAUAAGGAGGAGGGGGACCACUAUUACAUGGUCUAAAAGUGAUAGAACAAGAAGGAAUGGCUUUAAACUAAAAGCGGGGUGAUUUAGUUUUGAUGCUAGGAAGACAUUUUUUUUUUUACUCAGAAGGCGGUGAGGCAUCGGCAGAGGCUUCCCAGAGGAGCUGUGGCUGCCCCAUCCCUGGAGGUGUUCAACUCCACAUUGUAUGGGGCCCUGGUCACCCUCAUCUGGUGGGGAGAAACCAUACCCACAGCAGAAGGUUGGAAUUACAUGAUCUUUAAGGUCCUUUCCAACCUAUGCCAUUCUAAGAUUCUAUGAAAGUCAAGUUAAAUACUUCAAAGGAAUUAGGAGUUAUUACCCAAGAAGAUGACAAGUACAGUAGAGCCUCUUGGUAAAGCCUUCUUCCUCCAGAUACAUGA